GACGAACGCUGGCGGCGUGCCUAAUACAUGCAAGUUGAGCGCUGAAGGUUGGUACUUGUACCAACUGGAUGAGCAGCGAACGGGUGAGUAACGCGUGGGGAAUCUGCCUUUGAGCGGGGGACAACAUUUGGAAACGAAUGCUAAUACCGCAUAAAAACUUUAAACACAAGUUUUAAGUUUGAAAGAUGCAAUUGCAUCACUCAAAGAUGAUCCCGCGUUGUAUUAGCUAGUUGGUGAGGUAAAGGCUCACCAAGGCGAUGAUACAUAGCCGACCUGAGAGGGUGAUCGGCCACAUUGGGACUGAGACACGGCCCAAACUCCUACGGGAGGCAGCAGUAGGGAACCUUCGGCAAUGGACGAAAGUCUGACCGAGCAACGCCGCGUGAGUGAAGAAGGUUUUCGGAUCGUAAAACUCUGUUGGUAGAGAAGAACGUUGGUGGGAGUGGAAAGCUCAUCAAGUGACGGUAACUACCCAGAAAGGGACGGCUAACUACGUG
rnacentral:rRNA from 1 species